CCUACGGGAGACAGCAGUGAGGAAUAUUGGUCAAUGGGCGGGAGCCUGAACCAGCCAAGUCGCGUGAGGGAAGACGGUCCUAUGGAUUGUAAACCUCUUUAGGCGGGGAGCAAUGCCGGGCACGCGUGCCCGGAGGGAGAGUACCCGCAGAAUAAGCAUCGGCUAACUCCGUGCCAGCAGCCGCGGUAAUACGGAGGAUGCGAGCGUGAUCCGGAUUUAUGGGGUUUAAAGGGUGCGUAGGCGGAUUUUUAAGUCAGCGGUAAAAUGUCCGGGCUCAACCCGGGCCGGCCGUUGAAACUGGGGAUCUUGAGUGGGCGAGAAGUAUGCGGAAUGCGUGGUGUAGCGGUGAAAUGCAUAGAUAUCACGCAGAACUCCGAUUGCGAAGGCAGCAUACCGGCGCCCGACUGACGCUGAGGCACGAAAGCGUGGGGAUCGAACAGGAUUAGAUACCCCAGUAGUC
rnacentral:rRNA from 1 species